UACGAGUGCCUCAAGCGUUAUCCGGAAUCAUUGGGCGUAAAGGGUGCGUAGGUGGUCUUGUUAGUCUUUUGUUAAAUUCUUCGGCUUAACCGGGGGCAUGCAAAAGAAACGGCAAGACUCGAGGAUGCGAGGGGUCUCUGGAACUCUAGGUGUAGCGGUGAAAUGCGUUGAUAUCUAGGGGAACACCAAAAGCGAAGGCAAGAGACUGGAGCACUCCUGACACUGAAGCACGAAAGCGUGGGUAGCGAAUGGG
rnacentral:rRNA from 1 species